GAGAUUUAGGUUAUAAGGGAGACUUCUAAUCUCUGCUUAAAGCGGUUAAACUCCGUUUAAUUCUCU
rnacentral:tRNA from 1 species